rnacentral:rRNA from 1 species
GAUGAACGCUGGCGGCGUGCCUAAUACAUGCAAGUCGAGCGAACAGAUGAGGAGCUUGCUCCUCUGACGUUAGCGGCGGACGGGUGAGUAACACGUGGAUAACCUACCUAUAAGACUGGGAUAACUUCGGGAAACCGGAGCUAAUACCGGAUAAUAUAUUGAACCGCAUGGUUCAAUAGUGAAAGACGGUUUUGCUGUCACUAAUAGAUGGAUCCGCGCCGCAUUAGCUAGUUGGUAAGGUAACGGCUUACCAAGGCAACGAUGCGUAGCCGACCUGAGAGGGUGAUCGGCCACACUGGAACUGAGACACGGUCCAGACUCCUACGGGAGGCAGCAGUAGGGAAUCGUCCGCAAUGGGCGAAAGCCUGACGGAGCAACGCCGAGUGAGUGAUGAAGGUCUUCGGAUCGUAAAACUCUGUUAUUAGGGAAGAACAAAUGUGUAAGUAACUAUGCACGUCUUGACGGUACCUAAUCAGAAAGCCACGGCUAACUACGUG